rnacentral:rRNA from 1 species
CCUACGGGGGGCAGCAGUGAGGAAUAUUGGUCAAUGGACGAGAGUCUGAACCAGCCAAGUAGCGUGAAGGAUGACUGCCCUAUGGGUUGUAAACUUCUUUUAUAUGGGAAUAAAAUGUUCCACGUGUGGGAUUUUGUAUGUACCAUAUGAAUAAGGAUCGGCUAACUCCGUGCCAGCAGCCGCGGUAAUACGGAGGAUCCGAGCGUUAUCCGGAUUUAUUGGGUUUAAAGGGAGCGUAGGUGGAUUGUUAAGUCAGUUGUGAAAGUUUGCGGCUCAACCGUAAAAUUGCAGUUGAAACUGGCAGUCUUGAGUACAGUAGAGGUGGGCGGAAUGCCUGGUGUAGCGGUGAAAUGCUUAGAUAUCACGAAGAACUCCGAUUGCGAAGGCAGUUCACUGGACUGCAACUGACACUGAGGCUCGAAAGUGUGGGUAUCAAACAGGAUUAGAUACCCGUGUAGUC